AAACUCAAAGGAAUUGACGGGGCCCGCACAAGCGGUGGAGCAUGUGGUUUAAUUCGACGCAACGCGAAGAACCUUACCAGGGCUUGACAUCCCCUAACCGCGUAUGAAAGUACGUUUUCACCCUCGGGUGACAGGGAGACAGGUGGUGCAUGGUUGUCGUCAGCUCGUGUCGUGAGAUGUUGGGUUAAGUCCCGCAACGAGCGCAACCCCUACGUUUAGUUGCUAACGCGUGAAGGCGAGCACUCUAGACGAACUGCCGUUGACAAAACGGAGGAAGGUGGGAUGACGUCAAAUCAUCAUGCCCCUUAUGUUCUGGGCUACACACGUGCUACAAUGGCCGGUACAGACGGACGCAAAGCCGCGAGGUGGAGCAAAUCCUAAAAAGCCGGUCUCAGUUCGGAUUGCAGGCUGCAAUUCGCCUGCAUGAAGUCGGAAUCGCUAGUAAUCGCAGGUCAGCAUACUGCGGUCGAAUACGUUCCCGGGCCUU
rnacentral:rRNA from 1 species